rnacentral:rRNA from 1 species
CCUACGGGAGGCAGCAGUGAGGAAUAUUGGUCAAUGGACGAGAGUCUGAACCAGCCAAGUAGCGUGAAGGAUGACUGCCCUAUGGGUUGUAAACUUCUUUUAUAUGGGAAUAAAAUGUUCCACGUGUGGGAUUUUGUAUGUACCAUAUGAAUAAGGAUCGGCUAACUCCGUGCCCGCAGCCGCGGUAAUACGGAGGAUCCGAGCGUUAGCCGUAUUUAUUGGGUUUAAAGGGAGCGUAGGUGGAUUGUUAAGUCAGUUGUGAAAGUUUGCGGCUCAACCGGAAAAUUGCAGUUGAAACUGGCAGUCUUGAGUACAGUAGAGGUGGGCGGAAUUCGUGGUGUAGCGGUGAAAGGCUUAGAUAUCACGAAGAACUCCGAUUGCGAAGGCAGCUCACUGGACUGCAACUGACACUGAGGCUCGAAAGUGUGGGUAUCAAACAGGAUUAGAUACCCCAGUAGUC